rnacentral:rRNA from 1 species
UUGAACGCUGGCGGAACGCUUUACACAUGCAAGUCGAACGGUAACAGCGAGGAAAGCUUGCUUUUUUCGGCUGACGAGUGGCGAACGGGUGAGUAAUACAUCGGAACGUGUCCGCUCGUGGGGGACAACCAUCCGAAAGGAUGGCUAAUACCGCAUGAGUUCUACGGAAGAAAGAGGGGGACCUGCUUGCAGGCCUCUCGCGAGCGGAGCGGCCGAUGACUGAUUAGCCGGUUGGUGAGGUAACGGCUCACCAAAGCAACGAUCAGUAGCUGGUCUGAGAGGACGACCAGCCACACUGGGACUGAGACACGGCCCAGACUCCUACGGGAGGCAGCAGUGGGGAAUUUUGGACAAUGGGCGCAAGCCUGAUCCAGCUAUUCCGCGUGUGGGAUGACGGCCCUCGGGUUGUAAACCACUUUAGUAGAGAACGAAAAGGAGCUAUCGAAUAAAUAGCUCUGCUGACGGUACUCUAAGAAUAAGCACCGGCUAACUACGUGCCAGCAGCCGCGGUAAUACGUAGGGUGCGAGCGUUAAUCGGAAUUACUGGGCGUAAAGGGUGUGCAGGCGGCUGAGUAAGACAGAUGUGAAAUCCCCGGGCUUAACCUGGGAACCGCAUAUGUGACUGCUUGGCUAGAGUGCGCCAGAGGGAGGUGGAAUUCCACGUGUAGCAGUGAAAUGCGUAGAUAUGUGGAA